AGAAGAGCAGUGUGGCUUGAAAGGCUGGGUAAUGAAGACACCUCAAGUGACUGGAAAGAGCCUUAAGUUAAAGGCAACAGGACUCUGAAGCUGUCACUGUUGUUAAUCCAGCUACCAACAAAGAUGUGAUCUAAAUGAUGAACUAGGAGAAGAGUUCCCUGCCCACUGUCUCCCCAGGCUACCAACUCGCUUCAUACAAAUACCAAAUAUUUUGCUUUUAAAAACUCUUCAGAGAACAGUGAUGACAAAUAACUGUAAAUGCCUAAAAUGGACGGAUUGACAGAAGCCACAAAGCCUUGUUCUGUAUAAUGACAUCUGGUCAAUAACUUUAAAAAAAUUACAUUUUGUAUAUUUUUCAGUUUAACUCAAAAUAAUGAAUGUUCAGCCACUGAAGUUGUACCGCUUUUCAUUCACCAGCAUGUAUAUUUCUGUGAGGAAAACAUCUGUGGUAAACUAGUAUAUCAAAACCAUACAUCAAAAUUCCCCUCAUUAUCCCUGAAAGGCAUGUCAUUGAAGCCUCUGGUCUUUAUCUUAACUUCCACUUAGAUUUUGCUCUCUCCUUCUUUGAACUACUCCUAGAACCCUCUAGGCCGAACCCUCUAGGCCAAACCCUGGAAUCCAGGCAAGCUACACCUUUACCAUACAACUCACC